AAGUCGUAACAAGGUUUCCGUAGGUGAACCUGCGGAAGGAUCAUUAAAAUGAACCCCCUCUCUAAGAAGAGGGGGUUGCGUUGCUCGAUCCGAGAAAGGAACCACGUCGCAACCUUUUACCGUACAGUGGCAGGCUUCGGGGAAACUCGGACACGGGAGUCGCACGUGAUGCGUUCGCCUAGUGGCGGCCUGCCCCCCAUCAAACGGUUCAAACCAUCCCAACCGACUGAACUUCUUUGCGAACACGCAACGUAAAUCGAAAUACAACUUUCAGCAACGGAUCUCUUGGUUCCG
rnacentral:misc_RNA from 1 species